GCUUCUCGUCUCUGAGGGUCUGUUCUCCAAGCCCAGCGGCACUUCACCUGCAUCAAGUCCCACCAAGGAGCACCCGUUGUGACCAGCACAGAGCUUGUCUGUCUGCCUGCUGGGUGCUGUCUGUACCAUCUGACUUCUCCCAUGGCUGAUCGUGCCAGCAAGCUUCCUGCCUUUCACUCCUGUCCUAGGGGGAUUUCUGCAGGGCAGAAAUGAGUGGUUUGUGUAGUUGCUUUGUAGAAAGCAUCUGUGACUUUGAAGUGAUGCUGUUUUCUGUGUGUGCCUAAACCCCUCCAAACCGUUUUCUUUGGAAAUGUAAAUAAAAUGUAAAGCUUUGUGCAGAUAGAUGUGUCCUGUGUUUCCUACCAGCUGACACUCCUGUUGAACUAGCAUCCCCCAGCACAUGAGGGUGAAGGACCUUGGCCACCAAGGCCAGGCUCCAAUGCAGGGAAAUGAGCUGGGGUUUUUUUUUUGGCAGGUCUUUGAGAUUAAUGUUCCCCCAGCUCUCUGUCUCUCCCACCUUGAAAAAUCUUGGUGUAAUCCUGCCAUCAUUCUGUGCUUGGUUCUGGAUCCCAGCCUGCUACCCAGCGUCCUUCCUUCCCACAACAUCCCCUUCUCUCCUGGAUUCCCAGCAUCGUAUCCUCUCCUGUUGGAGCAACCUGUUGGAAUCCUCACAAGCCCCAGCAAAACAGGUGCUCUCUGAAUCUGCUGUAUCACAAAAGUGAAAUAACAUCCUUCAGGCUGAAAUCAGAAACUCAUCAGCUCCAAAAGCCUCCAUCUAAAAUGAACAGAUGUUCCGCAGAUGGUAUGCUCCACUCACCUCCAAGCAGCUCCAUGCCUUGCUCAUGUAUUCAUGUUGACCCUUUUAGCUCAGUCCUGAUUGCUCAGCAGCAAUUGAAGAUCCACAGAACUGUAAAAGGAAGAUAAGAGCAGGGCUUCCCUGCCUUGCUUUUAUUUUAGUGAAACUCUAAU
rnacentral:lncRNA from 1 species